CUACGGGCGGCAGCAGUGGGGAAUAUUGGACAAUGGGAGAAAUCCUGAUCCAGCAAUUCUGUGUGCAUGAUGACGGUCUUCGGAUUGUAAAGUGCUUUCGACAGGGAAGAAUAAAUUGACGGUACCUGUAUAAGAAGCGACGGCUAAAUACGUGCCAGCAGCCGCGGUAAUACGUAUGUCGCAAGCGUUAUCCGGAAUCACUGGGCAUAAAGGGCGUCUAGGCGGUUUAAAAAGUCAGUGGUGAAAGGUAUGGGCUCAACCCGUGCAUUGCCAUUGAAACUCUUAGACUAGAGUAUGGGAGAGGAGGGCGGAACUACAAGAGUAGCGGUGAAAUGCGUAGAUAUUUGUAGGGGUGCCAAUGACGAAGGUAGCUCUCUGGACCAAUACUGACGCUAAAGCGCGAAAGCUAGGGUAGCAAACAGGAUUAGAUACCCCUGUAGUC
rnacentral:rRNA from 1 species